rnacentral:lncRNA from 1 species
CCAAUAAGAGCCUCUGUCGAUGCCAUCAUGAAUUCAGAUGUGUUUAUUUUGGAGCCUACACCAGCGCCUUUUUUGUUUGCUCUUUCCGGCAAUUCCCCAGUGAGGAGGAAGCCCCUGGAGUAAGGUCUCUCUCUACCGUCGGCACUGGAAGGGUGAGAGCUGUAAGAGGGAGAAUCGGGAACGCCAUGGGGUUGGCCACUCGGGUAUUUGAGUGGCUUUAGUCUGCGAUAGGAAGCGUGGGUAGUGGGAAACUGACAGAAGGGCGAAAUGUCACCGAGGAGCGGGGGGAGGAGAGGGGAGCAAGGCUUGGGGCCGGGGAGCGAGCAAUCAGGUGAGGGCAGAGCACCGGGAAGGGGGCGGCGCCCCGGGACCCCGUCCAGGCGGUGAGCGUAGGCAGGCGGGGAGCAGCCCAGAGGUGGGUGUGUGUAUCUGGGUGUGUCCGGGCUGCGGUGGGGGAGGGGGCCGCCCAUCCCGGGGUCCUGAGGGAGGGGCCCGGCGAGGGGGCGGGUCCGGCAGCUCAGCCCGGCCCGGGGCCAAGGGGGUGGAAGGUCUCCGGUGCCUUGAGGGUGGGGUGAAGGGGAGUGGCUGAGCGCCCCAGGAGCAGGCUGCGGCGGAGCCCGGACAAGGCGGUCCCGGUGCAGGGCAGCGGGACCGGUGUGCGGGGCCCGAGCCCAGUCAAGGAGCAGCACCUACCUCCGGGGGUGGAAAUGGGCCGGAAUGGGCCGGAACACCGUCCCGGAAGUGAAACCCCCCACCCCCUCCCCCGGAGCGGGCGACGUGCCGGAAGGAAAUCACUCACCCUUACACCGCCCCCCNNNNNNNNNNNNNNNNNNNNNNNNNNNNNNNNNNNNNNNNNNNNNNNNNNNNNNNNNNNNNNNGGGUGGGGCGGGGCCAAGGGGCGGGCUUAGAGGAAGGAGGUGUGGCUGCAGGAGGAGGAAGAGAUGACGGGAGGAGACGGGGAGGAGCUGAAGCCGGCGAGGGUGCGUCAUGACGUCAUGAAAAAGCGUCCUUAUAUACUGGCGCCUGGCCCCCAUCUCGGUCUUUCGAGGCUAGGAAUUGGUGGUUGGUAUGUAUAUGAUCAUUUUGCAUAAUGGCUUGUUGGCUCGAGGCCUUCAGCUCUUGGUAGUUAAAGUCAUCUUAAACUAACUGGUAUUUGUAGGCCGGUCGCGGGCCUGGGUUCCCAAGAUGAAGAUGAUAGAAGUUUUGGGUGCGGGCGCGGCCUAAAUCCUACCGCUCGGGCAGAAUUGCGGAAAAAUCCGUGGGCUCGCGUUCCCUGCCUGUGAUGAAGCCUGCGUUGGUAGGGACAUCUGAGACUGUUGAUGAACGCCAACGGCUCUGAUGGCGGCGCGUGCCGAGUCACCCGAGUGGGCCUUUGUUAAUCUCGGCCAGGGCCUCCUUCGGCCUUUUGCUCAGGAAAGCCGGCAGUUGGGGUAGUCCACGUGCUUCUCUGAAUGGCUGCGUUCCGCAGUGCACCAUUAUUUACUUAAGUGGUUUCCAGCUUUAACUGCUUGCACUGCUCCUUUUGUAAACUAUUAAGUGCGCUCUUUGUAGUCGUGAAAUUAUGGGUGGUGUAAACGAUCUGUGGUAUAGGUGAUAGGAAAAGAAAUAUGCUUAGACUGUAGAACAAAUGAUUAAUUUUAAAGUUUGUUUGGGAAGAGCGAGCAAGCGGGGGGGGCAGAGAGGGAGAGAAAAUGCCAACCAGACUUAGCACUGUCAGCGCAGAGCCCAACGCAGGGCUCUAAGCGUAAACGGUGAGAUAUGACCUGAGCAGAAAUCAAGAGUUGGAUGCUCAAGGACUGAGCCACCCGGGGGCCCCAGAACAAAAUGAUUAUUUUUAAGAAUCUUAAUCUUUUCCCUAGAAAUGGUGCUGGGCACGAAUGCAAAGUGGCUUUUGAUGGCUUCUGAUGGGCAGGUAAGAAACGGGUUAAUACAGUGGAAAGGAAUCAGAUCUCCUUGGAGGUGGGGUCUUUUGUUAAGCCUGUGAUGGUUUAAGAGUAGUGGACAGAAGGGAUUUCUGAAAAAUCCUAUUCUGAGGCUUAACCAUACCUAAAACCUUGAUAGUUACUUUGGCUGCGCAGUAUGUUUAAUCGGAUGCUCUUUGAUUUCUAGUUCUGUGCCAAAGGGGUGAAAACGGCUGCAAAGGUAAGUUACCGAAAUUCCCUCACCAAGGGAAGUUAGGUUGAAAGUCCACUAAAUGUGCUACAAUGAUGACAUUAUAUUUGCUACUCUUGACUGUGAGAAUGACGAGAGUUACUACCACCAUUACACUUAACUGAGGCACACAAAAGGUGAUUUAGAGAACUUGGAGAUUGACACUACUUUUACAUGAAGCUGUUUCUUCCUAGGUCCUAAAGUUCAAGUUGCACAUGCUACCCAUGGGCAAACAGGUGAGGAACCUUUUAGAUAGUCCGUGUUUACCCAGUCCUUUUCAAUUCUUUUUUUACAUCUGAAUGCCUACACUCUGGUAUUCUGUAUGAAAUGCUUACAACCUGAAACAGAUACUAUGAUGGUUGCAUAGUUCAGCAGAUUGGAUCAUGAAGAGGAUAGUUAUCUAUCUGAUGUAUCGAAGUUGAUAGGAAAAUUGGUUUGCUGUUAAUAGCAUAAGCAAAAUGUCAUUAACCUAGUUUCCUUCCUUCCUUUUUUGUAGGCGCUAAAGGGAGUUGGCUGGAAAUUGAGGAGGUGAGCAGAAUUGUAAUGGAGCUAAAUGUUGGUAACAGGGCAAACAUCACAGUACAGCUAAUGGCUGUUUAGAGUUGCCUUAUGCACAGGAAGCACUCCUGCCACCAAGUGCUUGAAUGCGUUGCUGAAUGCAGUAAACACAUGCCAGACCCUUGUCCUGUUACCAUUGGUUAGGACACUCAUGAUUUGUAAAAAGCAGCCUGGAUGAUGAUAAGCAAAUACUGACUGAACAUGAAGGUCUUAAUUAGCUCUACCUGAUUUCAGGCAUUUUUGACGUUGUGGGGAGAAAAUUCAUCUUUUGCCUCUUGUGAAACUGUCUUUAUUUCUUAGGUGGACUUGAGUCUCAGUCAUGUUUGGAGCAACAAUUUAUUUUGGUAAGUAUUAAGCAUUUUAGUAAGCUCAAAACUUAACUGAGUGCUGAUGAAAUAGAAUGCUUAACUACCAAGUUAACUAGUUUACUGUGGCUACUUAGUGGGUGCAUGUUGAGCAUGCUGUGAAUGGGGUUUUUGAAAUGAUGUUGACCAAAUGUCUGACCUGAAGUGAGCAUGUAGACAAAUUUAACACUGAAGAACCCUGUGACAAAUAACUCUGAGAAGAAUUCGGUGAUAAUUAACAUUUUAACGAAGUGUCUUGUUUUUUUCUAGGUUACUGGCCACUAUCCUGGAUGGCUUGCUUGGGGUAAGACAAAACAGUUCUUUGGUUGCUGAACUCAAGUUCGUGUGUGGCCGAAAUGUGCUAUAAUGUGUUAAGUGUGUUCUGGUGUUUCAGGGAAGAUUCAGCCAUUGUGAAGUGCAUUUAAAUUUUUUUUUUUUUUUUUUUUGGUCAGGUGCUGAUUUUGAAGAACUUUUUAUAUAAAGGUAUGUAUUCUCUAAACCUUUUUUGGUUAACAAGCAAGAUACUGUUAGUGAUGAUUUUUGAAAUUAAAAACAGAUGGGAAUCUCUCUGAAAAAGAGUGAAGAUUUCUUAAACGCUGAAACAGUAUUUGGAAAAGUUGAGAAAUCCACUUGUUACUACCUGUUAACUAAAUUUGACUAAAUUUUCUGCAGGUGUGAAGAGUUAGUGGCUCACGAGGCCCGGAAUGAGGAGUUUUAAGCCAAGGUAUAGUCGUUUCAAGUUGGGUGUCUAUAUGAAGUGGUUUAAAGCCGAUACAGUGAUGAGAACAUAGUUCAGCAGACUUGACAGUGAUGAGCAACAUUGUCUUUCGCUCCUAUCUGACGUAUCUGGCUGCAGCAACCCUAUCCAUACCCUUGAAAACGAGCCAUUUAUUCUACCACAGGAAACGUUCAGGGUUGGGGUAACUAGUGGCUUAUAUACAAAUGUUUUUUUUAGUUUAUUUUGAGGGGUCGGGGAGGAGCAGAGAGGGAGACAGAAUCCACUCUGUGCAGAGUCCAGUGCAGGGCUCCAUCUCCCUGACUUCAUGACCUGAGUCGGACAUUUAACUGAGCCAACCAGGCACCCCAAAUGUUUCAAUUUUACGAUUUCACAUUUUGAGGAGCACAGGUAAAGUUUUUGCCAGGAAAUUGUAAUCUUUUUUUUAAUAAGCUUCAUGUUUUAAAGCAGUUUCAAUAUUGACAACAAAAUUGAACGUAGGAUCCCAUACAUCUGGUCUUCACACCUUCCUCAACAUUCAGCACUAGAGUGAGACUUUGGCUACAAUUAUGAACAUACAAUGAGACCAUUAUCGCCCAAGUCCACAGCUUACAUUAAGGUUCAUUCGUGUUACACGUAUGGGCUUGGACAAUGUGAUACAUCCACCAUUGUGUGUAGAAUAGGUUUGCUGCCCUAAAUGUUACUUUUCAGAAAGUUAAAAAUGGGGAAAACCAGUACAAAUUUUAAAUGGCUUUUUCCCCCCCCCCAACAUAUACAAACAGGCAGACUGUCAACCUGAACAUUAAGAGGUAAGUUGGUCUGUGGUAUAUGUGAUAAGUUAGCAUGUAACCAGUGAUGUAAUGAUUCUGCCAAAUGAAACCGAAUGAUAUCACUCAUAAAACCGUUCCAUUUUUGUUUCUGAGGUUACUAGCAAACAUCAUGCGGGGUGGUUUUUGUUUUUUUCACCAUAAUUAACCUGCCAUCAUUGCUUUUAGGGCAUUUGUGAGGGCAGCGAUCCAGUUAUGAGAGCAGCUUGCUAGUUGAAAGGUGAGACUUUAAAAACCUCAAUACUGUUGUCUUAAUCCAGAAUACAUGAUGAUCUCACUCCAACUUGAACUCUCUCACUGAUCACUUGAUGAUUAUAAAAGAUCUGAUAUUCUGUGUAUUGAGAAUACAAUUAGAAUUAAAACAAAAAUGUGUCUAAAAGUUGCUGCUUUGUCCUUCCAGCACCUGGAUGGAUGCCCACGGGAUAGAAGAUCAAGCUUUUCAAUAUCAAUAAAUUUUUAUAAACCAUCUGAUCAA